ensembl:snRNA LOC120095793 U2 spliceosomal RNA
AUCGCUUCUCGGCCUUUUGGCUAAGAUCAAGUGAAGUAUAUUAAAUGACCUAGCAGUUCAAGAUAUACUUUAUAUUAAUGCAAAUAAUUAUGAAGUGAAUAUUUUGGCCUUUUGAGUCAAUGCAUUGUUAAAACUUGGCCCAGAUCUAUCCUCUAAUCUUGUUUAUAGGUUACCAUGA